GAGACUGGUUUCCUUGAAGGAUGCUUAGCAGCACUCUGCUGUUGUUGUCUUUUGGAUGCUUGCUUUUGAGGCUCUAUAAUUGUUCAUAAUUCUUCUCUUUAAUUGUUAUAGGCCAUAACAAUUGCAUUAUCUGUCUGUAAUAAUAGUUUCUUUCUAAUUCAGUUGGAAAUUGUUACUUGUAUAAUGGAUUGGAUGAUUUUAAUUUUUUGUUGAAGAAUUUUCCAGUUUCC
rnacentral:misc_RNA from 1 species